rnacentral:rRNA from 1 species
GACGAACGCUGGCGGCGUGCCUAAUACAUGCAAGUAGAACGCAGUUACGAACAGUUGAGUAACGCGUAGUUAACUGCCUCAUAGCAGGGGAUAAAUAUUGAAAACACUAGCUAAUACCUCCUACUGCGAGAUGCACCUGCGUUGUAUUAGCUAGUUGGUGAGGUAAUGGCUCACCAAGGCGCAGAUACAUUGCCGACCUGAGAGGGGUAUCGGCAACACGGGGGCUGAGACACGGCCCAGACUCCUACGGGAGGCAGCAGUAGGGAAUCUUCGGCAAUGGACGAAGGUUGGACGAGCAACGGCGGGUUAGUGAAGAAGGUUUUCGGGUCGUAAAGCCCUGUUGGUAGGGAAGCGGUAUCUAACCAGAAAGGGACGGCUAACUACGUGCCAGCAGCCGCGGUAAUAC